AUUGAACGCUGGCGGAAUGCUUUACACAUGCAAGUCGAGCGGCAGCACGGUGACAGCCCUGUCUUCCAGCUGCCAACUGGUGAGUAAUACAUCGGAACAUGCCCAUCUGUUUUUUCUUACACUUCGACAUAAGUACUCAUACCGCAUACGUCCUUACGGGCUACGCGUGGAAUCACAAGACCUCGCGCCCUUGCGCUGUCCGAUGUCCGAUUAGCUAGUUGGUGGGGUAAAGGCCUACCAAGGCAACGAUCUGUAGCUGGUCUGAGAGGAUGAUCAGCCACACUGGAACUGAGACACGGCCCAGACUCCUACGGGAGGCAGCAGUGGGGAAUAUUGGACAAUGGGGGCAAGCCUGAUCCAGCCAUUCCGCGUGAGUGAAGAAGGCCUUCGGGUUGUAAAGCUCUUUUGGCAGGAAAGAAAAGGAGAGGGCUAACAUAGCGCGGUAAUGACGGUACCUGAAGAAGAAGCACCGGCUAACUACGUG
rnacentral:rRNA from 1 species